rnacentral:rRNA from 1 species
UGGGGAAUUUUGGACAAUUGGGCGAAAGCCUGAUCCAGCAAUGCCGCGUGUGUGAAGAAGGCCUUCGGGUUGUAAAGCACUUUUGUCCGGAAAGAAAUCCUUGGCUCUAAUACAGUCGGGGGAUGACGGUACCGGAAGAAUAAGCACCGGCUAACUACGUGCCAGCAGCCGCGGUAAUACGUAGGGUGCAAGCGUUAAUCGGAAUUACUGGGCGUAAAGCGUGCGCAGGCGGUUUUGCUAAGACCGAUGUGAAAUCCCCGGGCUCAACCUGGGAACUGCAUUGGUGACUGGCAGGCUAGAGUAUGGCAGAGGGGGGUAGAAUUCCCACGUGUAGCAGUGAAAUGCGUAGAGAUGUGGAGGAAUACCGAUGGCGAAGGCAGCCCCCUGGGCCAAUACUGACGCUCAUGCACGAAAAGCGUGGGGAGCAAACAGGAUUAGAUACCCUGGUAGUCCACGCCCUAAACGAUGUCAACUAGUUGUUGGGGAUUCAUUUCCUUAGUAACGUAGCUAACGCGUGAAGUUGACCGCCU